rnacentral:rRNA from 1 species
GCAUAUCAAUAAGCGGAGGAAAAGAAAAUAACCAUGAUUCCCCCAGUAACGGCGAGUGAAGCGGGAAAAGCUCAAAUUUGAAAUCUGGCAACAUUUCUUUUGUUGUCCGAGUUGUAAUUUCAAGAAGCUGCUUUGAGUGUACACGGUUUACCUAAGUUCCUUGGAACAGGACGUCAUAGAGGGUGAGAACCCCGUCUUUGGUAAGCUGGGCGUAUGCCGGAUAAAGCGCUUUCGAAGAGUCGAGUUGUUUGGGAAUGCAGCUCUAAAUGGGUGGUAAAUUUCAUCUAAAGCUAAAUAUUGGCGAGAGACCGAUAGCGAACAAGUAGAGUGAUCGAAAGAUGAAAAGAACUUUGAAAAGAGAGUUAAAUAGUACGUGAAAUUGCUGAAAGGACGAAGCAUUGGAAACCAGUCUUACCCGGGUGAGAUCAGUUGCCUUUUCGCAAGGCGAUGCACUCUGAACCUGUUGGUAGGUCAGCAUCAGUUUCUGGGGGUGGAAAAAGGAUCUAGGAAGGUACCUUUUCGGGUUCUGCCUGAAGAGGGUUUAUAGCCUAGGUUGUAAUACAUCCACUGGGGACUGAGGACUGCGAUCUUUAUGGUCAAGGAUGUUGACAUAAUGGUUUUCAAUGACCCGUCUUGAAACACGGACCA